AUAUUGCUGCAGACCGGAGACAUUAUGGGUGGAUCUGAAGGCGGGAUAACUGUAAAUGCAAGUGGAUAGUAUUGGCUAAUUCAGAAUUUCAACGAAUGAGAUUGUUGUUCCUCUAGGACAAUCAAAAACUCACCUGUCCAAUUAUCAACGUUUGAAGUUGUCUAUCAAGUGUAACUUUAACCAAACGUUUCACAGUUCGUGAUCCCUACCGCUUUGAGGUUCCGCCUUAUACAGUUAUCUCUUAAAUAGCCUGCCGUUUUACCAAGCGACGAAACUCCAUUAAACAAAAAGAGACAAAAAAAAAAAAAGCUGCGGUGAUGAAACUCCAUUAGACAAAAGAAGAAGAAGCGACGAAACUAAUUGCUCGUAUUUUUGACAAUGGAAGUAAGUGUGCUUCGAAAUGAAAACGUCUGAAAGUUGCAGUUUUUUUCGUAUUUUUAAUAGCUUUGUUUUGCAUGGUUAUGUUUGUACCGUGGACCUUUACGUUUGUAUUAAUAAUAAUUUUCGCUGUAGUAAUUGAUUUAUAUUCAGUGCUUGAAAUGGAUCGGCACUCAGCGGUACCGGCAACUCUUCAAAUUCUACAAGGUAAGUUUCACGAGAACUCCUCGACUGUGCAUGGAAGACGAAAAAAAACUUUUACAAGCAUCUAGGAAACGCUUGAUCAGCUUUUCUGUCGUGAAGUAGGCUUUUGAUAAAGCUCAGAUUGACUGCAGUGGUGCACGAUAUUACCUUUUUUUCUUUUCAGUUUAGUUCCUUAUGUUCGAGUAAUGUGUCUAAAUUGUAAUACCAAAUAAUCUGCGAUGUUUUUGUACCGUCAAUUUUAAUAGAAUUUCAUGGUAGUUUUGUGCAGAUGAUGCCUGCUAUUUCUAAACUGUUAAAAGACUUUCCUGCAAUGGGCAGUGCGCCUCUAAAUUAUACGUGAGUCAGACUGACAGUCGCGAUGUGCACAGAGCCUUUUCAAUUUAUUUACAAGUAACAUUUAUAAUUUUUUUCCUUUCAGCCUGCUUGCUACAAGAAUAUUUUCUGGAAAUUGGAUGCUGAUGAAAAAUAAAGUAAAUUGUAAACACCCAUUUCUUAAAAUUAUAAUUCACUUGUAGUGUUCGACUUUCACGUGUGUCUUUAUUUCUUUCCUUCUUUUCCUAGGACAUCCCUACUGGUUCAGUAGACUGUGGAGUAGACAUGUUGAUGUGGCUAUGUGGCUGCAGAAGGGCAGCUGACUCGAGAACAAGGGGCUCAGGUUUAUGAGGCUGCAGAGAUCAGCAGGGUCUCCAGGAGGACUCAACAUAAAAACUGUUGGAGUUCAUCAUAAAAAGCCAUGGAGCAGAUGACCACUUGCUGGCUGUUGUAUCUGAAAAGGUGUCAUCCAAAUGGUUUAAAAACGAUGAAGAUCCUAAAGGUCACCAGGUAAUGACCUCUAUACAGUAGAAGAUGAGGAGCUGACAGAUGUCCUCCACAACUACCUGAUGAAGUGCUGUCAAGAGCUGUAGGUACCUUUGAAAAGAUUAACAGAGUUCACAUCAUUCUGGAUGUGCUGAUUUGGCUUUA